GUAGGUGAACCUGCGGAAGGAUCAUUAAUGAAUAACUAUGGCGUUGGUUGUAGCUGGCUUUUAGGAGCACUGUGCACGCCCGUCAUUCUUAUCUUUCCACCUGUGCACUUAAUGUAGGCCUGGAUAACUCUCACUCUUAACUGAGUGGAUGCAAGGAUUGCUGUGCCCACAAGGCCAGCUCGCUUUGAAUUUCCAGGUCUAUGUAUUUUUACACACCCCCAUUGUAUAAUGAAGAAUGUAGUCAAUGGGC
rnacentral:misc_RNA from 1 species